rnacentral:rRNA from 1 species
ACUCCUGCGGGAGGCAGCAGUGGGGAAUAUUGCACAAUGGGCGCAAGCCUGAUGCAGCCAUGCCGCGUGUAUGAAGAAGGCCUUCGGGUUGUAAAGUACUUUCAGCGGGGAGGAAGGCGAUAAGGUUAAUAACCUUGUUGAUUGACGUUACCCGCAGAAGAAGCACCGGCUAACUCCGUGCCAGCAGCCGCGGUAAUACGGAGGGUGCAAGCGUUAAUCGGAAUUACUGGGCGUAAAGCGCACGCAGGCGGUCUGUCAAGUCGGAUGUGAAAUCCCCGGGCUCAACCUGGGAACUGCAUUCGAAACUGGCAGGCUAGAGUCUUGUAGAGGGGGGUAGAAUUCCAGGUGUAGCGGUGAAAUGCGUAGAGAUCUGGAGGAAUACCGGUGGCGAAGGCGGCCCCCUGGACAAAGACUGACGCUCAGGUGCGAAAGCGUGGGGAGCAAACAGGAUUAGAAACCCCGGUAGUCCCAUG